rnacentral:pre_miRNA from 1 species
UCUUAUGGAUGAGCAAAGAAAGUGGUUUCUUGAGACAGAAAUUUACACCUAGUGAACAUGCUGUGAA